GUUUUAGUAAUUUAAUAAAAAUAUUGGUCUUGUAAACCAAAAAUAAAAUUUUUUUUUUCUAAAACU
rnacentral:tRNA from 1 species